GACGGGGGGAGCUAGUGUUAUUCAACGUAAUUGGGCGUAAAGCGUUCGUAGACGGUUUAUUAAUUAAAGUAUUGACCCAUGGGUUUUAUGGUAGCUACUUUACAAUGAUAGGACUAGAGUCGAGCAGAGGGUAAUAGAAUUUUCAGGGUAGGGGUAAAAUUCAUUGAUACUGAAAAGACUAUCAACGGCAAAGGCAAUUAUCCAUGCUUCGUACUGACGUUGAGGAACGGAGGCGUGGGGAGCGAAUGGG
rnacentral:rRNA from 1 species